rnacentral:rRNA from 1 species
GACGAACGCUGGCGGCGUGCUUAACACAUGCAAGUCGAACGGAAAGACCCUGCUUUUGUGGGGUGCUCGAGUGGCGAACGGGUGAGUAACACGUGAGUAACCUGCCCUUGACUUUGGGAUAACUUCAGGAAACUGGGGCUAAUACCGGAUAGGAGCUCCUGCUGCAUGGUGGGGGUUGGAAAGUUUCGGCGGUUGGGGAUGGACUCGCGGCUUAUCAGCUUGUUGGUGGGGUAGUGGCUUACCAAGGCUUUGACGGGUAGCCGGCCUGAGAGGGUGACCGGCCACAUUGGGACUGAGAUACGGCCCAGACUCCUACGGGAGGCAGCAGUGGGGAAUAUUGCACAAUGGGCGGAAGCCUCAUGCAGCAACGCCGCGUGCGGGAUGACGGCCUUCGGGUUGUAAACCGCUUUCGCCUGUGACGAAGCGUGAGUGACGGUAAUGGGUAAAGAAGCACCGGCUAACUACGUG